UCCUACGGGAGGCAGCAGAGGGGAAUUUUGGACAAUGGGCGCAAGCCUGAUCCAGCAAUGCCGCGUGUGUGAAGAAGGCCUUCGGGUUGUAAAGCACUUUUGUUCGGGAAGAAAAGGAGUGGGCUAAUAUCCUGCUCUGAUGACGGUACCGGAAGAAUAAGCACCGGCUAACUACGUGCCAGCAGCCGCGGUAAUACGUAGGGUGCAAGCGUUAAUCGGAAUUACUGGGCGUAAAGCGUGCGCAGGCGGUUUGUUAAGACAGAUGUGAAAUCCCCGGGCUCAACCUGGGAACUGCAUUUGUGACUGGCAAGCUAGAGUCUGGCAGAGGGGGGUGGAAUUCCGCGUGUAGCAGUGAAAUGCGUAGAUAUGCGGAGGAACACCGAUGGCGAAGGCAGCCCCCUGGGCCAACACUGACGCUCAUGCACGAAAGCGUGGGGAGCAAACAGGAUUAGAUACCCUGGUAGUCCACGCCCUAAACGAUGUCAACUAGUUGUUGGGGAUUCAUUUCCUUAGUAACGUAGCUAACGCGUGAAGUUGACCGCCUGGGGAGUACGGUCGCAAGAUUAAAACUCAAAUGAAUUGACGGA
rnacentral:rRNA from 1 species